UACGUAGGUGGCAAGCGUUGUCCGGAAUUAUUGGGCGUAAAGCGCGCGCAGGUGGGAUAAUCAGUCUGAUGUGAAAGUUCGGGGCUUAACCCCGUGAAGCAUUGGAAACUAUUAUUCUUGAGUGCAGGAGAGGAAAGUGGAAUUCCUAGUGUAGCGGUGAAAUGCGUAGAUAUUAGGAGGAACACCAGUGGCGAAGGCGACUUUCUGGACUGUGUCUGACACUGAGGCGCGAAAGCCAGGGUAGUGAACGGG
rnacentral:rRNA from 1 species